AAGAUCAAAUAAAACCAAACAGAAUUAAUUGUACAGGAAGAUCACAAAUCUAUUUUCUCCGAAUGAUGUAUGCGAAUCGCGUUCAAGUUACCCAAUUGAGUGAUUACAUUAUAUGAGAAGUACAUUAAUCUUCUUCAAUCCAAUAUAUUAAAAAUGCAGAAUGAACUUUGAUACGACAUUAAUCAUCUGCUGAGCAACCACGAUAAGGUGAAUGGAGAAAACUCUUAUCUCAAUCCAUUGCGUGCAAACAUUUGCAUAGGGGUAUAAAUUUUGAUGAAAACUCGUGGAAACUUUUCUCAUAUAAAGACGAUCGUCUUCAUCUCUCAUCACGCGUAUUGAUAAUUCGACUGUGUCUAUCGAGAAGAAAGUUGGAAGCAUUCAUCUGUGCAUCAUGAAGUACCUCGCAGUUUUGAUGCUCCUUGCGAUGCUGAUUGCUGCUGUUGCUGGACAAGGCUGCGCAGCCACUGGGCGCCCGUGCGUAAGUAAACCUGAUUGUUGUGGGAUCCUACAGUGUCGUGCAGGGCGAUGUGCUGUGUAAAGGCGCAUUCAAACGGAAGAGGCACGAGUCUUUGCUCCAGAAUAAGACGACGAAUAUGAAUUUUGUAUGUAGCGAGUUCAACAUAUUAGAAGACCAUGUUCUGGGCACCUUCUGUUUUGUUAACGGCCCAAAAAUAGCAUGCCUCAAGCAUUUUUCAUGAGAAAUCUUUUAAAACGUUAUUAUAAUCUAUAAUUGUUCUGUACCCAUUUUUAAUGAAUAUUAAAUUUGGAAAAUAUAAUAUAAUAAUUUUAUUCAGCA